GUGGGGAAUCUUAGACAAUGGGGGAAACCCUGAUCUAGCCAUGCCGCGUGAGCGAUGAAGGCCUUAGGGUUGUAAAGCUCUUUCAGCUGGGAAGAUAAUGACGGUACCAGCAGAAGAAGCCCCGGCUAACUCCGUGCCAGCAGCCGCGGUAAUACGGAGGGGGCUAGCGUUGUUCGGAAUUACUGGGCGUAAAGCGCGCGUAGGCGGACCAGAAAGUUGGAGGUGAAAUCCCAGGGCUCAACCUUGGAACUGCCUUCAAAACUCCUGGUCUGGAGUUCGAGAGAGGUGAGUGGAAUUCCGAGUGUAGAGGUGAAAUUCGUAGAUAUUCGGAGGAACACCAGUGGCGAAGGCGGCUCACUGGCUCGAUACUGACGCUGAGGUGCGAAAGCGUGGGGAGCAAACAGGAUUAGAUACCCUAGUAGUUCC
rnacentral:rRNA from 1 species